GCUGGGAUAGGUCAGUUGGUAAAGCAUAAGUCUCUUAAUCUCAGGCUUAUGGGUUUGAACCCCAUGUUGGGCA